UACAGAGGUCUCAAGCGUUGUUCGGAUUCAUUGGGCGUAAAGGGUGCGUAGGCGGCGCGGUAAGUCGGAUGUGAAAUCUCGGAGCUUAACUUCGAAACUGCAUUCGAUACUGCCGUGCUUGAGGACUGGAGAGGAGACUGGAAUUUACGGUGUAGCGGUGAAAUGCGUAGAUAUCGUAAGGAAGACCAGUGGCGAAGGCGGGUCUCUGGACAGUUCCUGACGCUGAGGCACGAAGGUCAGGGGAGCAGACGGG
rnacentral:rRNA from 1 species